CAGUAGCCGCGGUAAUACGAAGGGGGCUAGCGUUGUUCGGAAUUACUGGGCGUAAAGGGCGCGUAGGCGGCCAUUCAAGUUAGAUGUGGAAGCCCUGGGCUCAACCUAGGAAUUGCAUUUGAUACUGUUUGGCUUGGGUUCGGGAGAGGUGAGUGGAAUUCCCAGUGUAGAGGUGAAAUUCGUAGAUAUUGGGAAGAACACCAGUGGCGAAGGCGGCUCACUGGACCGACACUGACGCUGAGGCGCGAAAGCGUGGGGAGCAAACAGGAUUAGAUACCCCUGUAGUCCCUGUCUCUUCUAC
rnacentral:rRNA from 1 species